GACGAACGCUGGCGGCGUGCCUAAUACAUGCAAGUAGAACGCUGAAGCGAGGAGCUUGCUCUUCUUGGAUGAGUUGCGAACGGGUGAGUAACGCGUAGGUAACCUGCCUGGUAGCGGGGGAUAACUAUUGGAAACGAUAGCUAAUACCGCAUAAAAUUGAUUAUUGCAUGAUAAUUAAUUGAAAGAUGCAACUGCAUCACUACCAGAUGGACCUGCGUUGUAUUAGCUAGUUGGUGAGGUAACGGCUCACCAAGGCGACGAUACAUAGCCGACCUGAGAGGGUGAUCGGCCACACUGGGACUGAGACACGGCCCAGACUCCUACGGGAGGCAGCAGUAGGGAAUCUUCGGCAAGAGGGGGAACCCUGACCGAGCAACGCCGCGUGAGUGAAGAAGGUUGUCGGAUCGUAAAGCUCUGUUGUAAGAGAAGAACGGGUGUGAGAGUGGAAAGUUCACACUGUGACGGUAGCUUACCAGAAAGGGACGGCUAACUACGUG
rnacentral:rRNA from 1 species